CUAUUAUGGAGAGUUUGAUCCUGGCUCAGGACGAACGCUGGCGGCAUGCCUAAUACAUGCAAGUCGAGCGAAUGACGAAGAAGCUUGCUUCUUCUGAUUUAGCGGCGGACGGGUGAGUAACACGUGGGCAACCUGCCCUGUAGAUUGGGAUAACUCCGGGAAACCGGGGCUAAUACCGAAUAAUCCAUUUCCUCACAUGGGGAGA
rnacentral:rRNA from 1 species